GACGAAGGAUGCAAGCGUUAUCCGGAUUCAUUGGGUUUAAAGGGAGCGUAGGUGGCCUUAUAAGUCAGUGGUGAAAUCUCGCAGCUUAACUGCGAAAUUGCCAUUGAUACUGUAGGGCUUGAGUAUAGUUGCCGUUGGCGGAAUAUGACAUGUAGUGGUGAAAUACAUAGAGAUGUCAUAGAACACCGAUUGCGAAGGCAGCUAACGAAACUAUAACUGACACUGAGGCUCGAAAGUGCGGGGAUCAAACGGG
rnacentral:rRNA from 1 species